AAGCCAUGGUGCGGGCACUUCCUCAGAAGGUCCUUAAACCUCUCACGGGCUUCAAAGAUGUCUCAGAAUCACCCUGUCUAAAUGCGAAAAUCUCCUGUCUCAACCU